rnacentral:tRNA from 1 species
GUUAAGGUGGCAGAGCCC